GGUCGCUCGCCAGCAACAGGCUGUACUCAAACAGUUUGGUGCCGGAGGAUAUGGAGGUUCAGAUAACAUUAUUACGGAUGAGGCAGAGCUUCAUCAACAUCAAAAACUAGAAAAGUUGUAUAUAUCAACUCGUGCUGGAAAGCACUUUCAAAGGGACAUUGUACGAGGAGUAGAGGGCUAUAUUGUUACUGGUUCAAAACAAGUCGAAAUAGGAACAA
rnacentral:misc_RNA from 1 species